rnacentral:rRNA from 1 species
CACCUCCAGCAUCCCCAGUAUUGGAGGCACUGCCUGCCCAGUGACAACUGUUUAACGGCCGCGGUAUCCUGACCGUGCAAAGGUAGCAUAAUCAUUUGUUCUCUAAAUAAGGACUUGUAUGAAUGGCCACACGAGGGUUUUACUGUCUCUUACUUCCAAUCAGUGAAAUUGACCUUCCCGUGAAGAGGCGGGAAUGCAUAAAUAAGACGAGAAGACCCUAUGGAGCUUUAACUAACCAACCCAAAGAAAAUAAAUUUAACCAUUGAGGAACAACAACAAUCUCCAUGAGUUGGUAGUUUCGGUUGGGGUGACCUCGGAGAAUAAAAAAUCCUCCGAACGAUUUUAAAGACUAGACCCACAAGUCAAAUCACUCUAUCGCUCAUUGAUCCAAAAAUUUGAUCAACGGAACAAGUUACCCUAGGGAUAACAGCGCAAUCCUAUUUAAGAGUCCAUAUCGACAAUAGGGUUUACGACCUCGAUGUUGGAUCAGGACAUCCUGAUGGUGCAACCGCUAUCAAAGGUUCGUUUGUUCAACGAUUAAAGUCCU